ensembl:snoRNA SNORD116 Small nucleolar RNA SNORD116
GGAUCAAUGAUGAUUCCUAAGCAAACAUUCCUUGGAAAGCUGAACAAAAUGAAUGAAGACUCAAUACCACCUCUCUCAUCGGGAAUGAGGUCC